rnacentral:rRNA from 1 species
GACGAACGCUGGCGGCGUGCCUAAUACAUGCAAGUAGAACGCUGAAGGAGGAGCUUGCUUCUCUGGAUGAGUUGCGAACGGGUGAGUAACGCGUAGGUAACCUGCCUGGUAGCGGGGGAUAACUAUUGGAAACGAUAGCUAAUACCGCAUAAUAGCAGUUGUUGCAUGACAACUGUUUGAAAGGUGCAAAUGCAUCACUACCAGAUGGACCUGCGUUGUAUUAGCUAGUUGGUGGGGUAAAGGCUCACCAAGGCGACGAUACAUAGCCGACCUGAGAGGGGGAUCGGCCACACUGGGACUGAGACACGGCCCAGACUCCUACGGGAGGCAGCAGUAGGGAAUCUUCGGCAAUGGACGGAAGUCUGAACGAGCAACGCCGCGUGAGUGAAGAAGGGUGUCGGAUCGUAAAGCUCUGUUGUAAGAGAAGAACGAGUGUGAGAGUGGAAAGUUCACACUGUGACGGUAUCUUACCAGAAAGGGACGGCUAACUACGUG